CAGAGGGUCACCAGGGUGGGGGCAUGGGGAGGAAGGGCAGCGUGGGCUAAGGAUCAGAGCCGGCCGACUUCAGGGAGAUUCUCUCACAAAUUACUCUCAUGGCUUGAGGAGGCAGCCAUUGAUGGAGCACUCAUUUUCUGAGCAGUCCACAGGCCAGGACUCCUAUCGACAAGGAAGACACAGCCAGCCGCAGAGGAAGCCAUUAGGUUUGACCUCAAGAAGCUGAUGUCCCAGGAGGAAACUGAGAUGCAGUGACGUCCUAGGACACACCCAAGACCUCACUGAAGCUCAAGACUCAAGUCUAGGAACAGAGAACCGGUCCGUUGGCCUAAAGUCAUCUCAAGCCCAGACUAGAAAGAAGCAAAGGACGGGGCAUUAAGAACCAGAGAGGAAAGUCGGGAAGAGCCCAUGGUGUUGGGUGGGGGAGGCGCCCGAUGUGACUUUACUCUCCCUGAGCUUUGAAGAGGAAGGAACAGUGAUCUGUAAAUGCA